UGAAUUAGUGCAGCGGAAAUCUUACAGCGAUUAAAAACGAAAGCUGCGUUCGUUCGAUAAAAGAUUAUUAUGAUGCAAAAGCCGAUUUAUGCGUUUGUAUCUAAGUGCAGUUUGCGCAGUUUGCAUCUAAAUGCAGUUUUGCGUCUAAAUGCAGUUUGCGUCUAAAUGCAGAUUGCGUCUAAGCGCAGUUUGCAUCUAGGCGCAGUUUGCGUCUAAG
rnacentral:lncRNA from 1 species